AAUGAACGCUGGCGGCGCGCCUAAUACAUGCAAGUCGAGCGAGAAGACGUAGCAAUACGUUUGUAAAGCGGCGAACGGGUGAGGAAUACAUGGGUAACCUACCCUCGAGUGGGGAAUAACUAGCCGAAAGGUUAGCUAAUACCGCGUACGCUUCUUGGACUUCGGUUCAGGGAGGAAAGCGAUGCCGAGGGUAUCGCGCUCUUGGAUGGGCUCAUGUCCUAUCAGCUUGUUGGGAGGUAACGGCUCACCAAGGCUUCGACGGGUAGCUGGUCUGAGAGGACGAUCAGCCACACUGGCACUGCGACACGGGCCAGACUCCUACGGGAGGCAGCAGUAAGGAAUAUUGCGCAAUGGGCGAAAGCCUGACGCAGCGACGCCGCGUGGGGGAUGAAGGUCUUCGGAUUGUAAACCCCUUUCGGG
rnacentral:rRNA from 1 species